CACUGAGUGCUUCAAAUCAUUCAGAAGAGAUGCUGUUUUUAGGGCAGUUUAUUAAAGAAGACCUGACAUGGAUGACUUCCAAUGAGAAACGACUGCUAAUACUUAUAUAAAUUCAUUACAGAAGGACCCUACCAGACUAUAUUUGAAUACGGCAUACCCAUGAAUUCUGGAACUGUUAUUCCUUAACCCAGUUUGGAGGAUAAGAGCUUACCAACUAGUUUUAAAUAUGCUGAGGUGAUGUAUUGCAAAAUAGCCAACAUACAACAAUAUGGAUGACCCUCUGUCUGGUCAACAGGAGUUUAAAUAUGG